rnacentral:rRNA from 1 species
CGCGUAGGCGGAUGCUUAAGUUAGAGGUGAAAGCCCAGGGCUCAACCUUGGAACUGCCUUUGAUACUGGGCAUCUUGAGUACGGGAGAGGUGAGUGGAACUCCGAGUGUAGAGGUGAAAUUCGUAGAUAUUCGGAAGAACACCAGUGGCGAAGGCGACUCACUGGCCCGUUACUGACGCUGAGGCGCGAAAGCGUGGGGAGCAAACAGGAUUAGAUACCCUGGUAGUCCACGCUGUAAACGAUGAGUGCUAGUUGUCGGCAUGCACGCAUGUCGGUGACGCAGCUAACGCAUUAAGCACUCCGCCUGGGGAGUACGGUCGCAAGAUUAAA